CCUACGGGAGGCAGCAGUGAGGAAUAUUGGUCAAUGGCCGUAAGGCUGAACCAGCCAAGUAGCGUGAGGGAAGACUGCCCUAUGGGUUGUAAACCUCUUUUAUGCGGGGAUAAAGGUGUCCACGUGUGGAUGUUUGCAGGUACCGCAUGAAUAAGGACCGGCUAAUUCCAUGCCAGCAGCCGCGGUAAUACGGAAGGUCCGGGCGUUAUCGGGAUUUAUUGGGUUUAAAGGGUGCGUAGGCGGGUGAUCAAGUCAGCGGUAAAAUCGUGGAGCUAAACUCCAUCCAGCCGUUGAAACUGAUGAUCUGGAGUGGGCGAGAAGUAUGCGGAAUGCGUGGUGUAGCGGUGAAAUGCAUAGAUAUCACGCAGAACUCCGAUUGCGAAGGCAGCAUACCGGCGCCCGACUGACGCUGAAGCACGAAAGCGUGGGUAUCGAACAGGAUUAGAUACCCUAGUAGUC
rnacentral:rRNA from 1 species